rnacentral:SRP_RNA from 1 species
CUUCUAGACCUGUGCAAUGUCUUUUAAGAGUAACGCUUCAGGGUGGGAACACAGCAGAGCGCUUUUUUGAGGUGUGUGCCGCAGUCAUCUGGGAGAGG